CGAGUGAUUUUGGACGCGUGAGAAUGAAUUCUGGAGAUAAAUAAGUGUUUCGGCGCAAAUUGGGCACGAAACAAAAAGUAAAGAAAAUUUGCGGAUUUCCGACGCUAACUUUGAUUAAAAGAAUUAAAGUGAGCAAAGUAAUAUAAAAUGGUGUGAGAUACCAUUUGAUUGGACUAAAGGGUGUAAAAUGUAAGUCUGGAAUGACUCGUGUUGAAAUCGGAGAGAGAACAGAAGAUUUGAAAUUUUCUGUAAAGAACGGGACUGAGAAAUUAGCAGAAAAUGCACAGUGUCAGAAAAUUAUGAAAAUUGGCGAAGAUGUCAGGAACAUUUGUAUGAGGCUAGAUUUAAAGUUUCACAUUAUUCUGACACCUGUAGAGAGAGAAAUAGAAUCCGAAAGCUAUCGGAUAAAGAUUGCAGUUCAGUACAGUUCACGGUGACCAAAUGGGGUCGGAACUGAAAUGUUAAAAUUU
rnacentral:lncRNA from 1 species